GGCGGAUUAAUACCGUAUGAGGUCACAUGCGGGCAUCUAAGUGUGACGAAAGGUUUUGCGGACAUGGAUGGGGAUGCGUCCGAUUAGCUGGUUGGCGGGGUAACGGCCCACCAAGGCGACGAUCGGUAGGGGUUCUGAGAGGAAGGUCCCCCACAUUGGAACUGAGACACGGUCCAAACUCCUACGGGAGGCAGCAGUGAGGAAUAUUGGUCAAUGGACGCAAGUCUGAACCAGCCAAGUAGCGUGCAGGAUGACGGCCCUAUGGGUUGUAAACUGCUUUUAUGCGGGGAUAAAGUGAGGGAUGUAUCCCUUUUUGUAGGUACCGCAUGAAUAAGGACCGGCUAAUUCCGUGCCAGCAGCCGCGGUAAUACGGAAGGUCCGGGCGUUAUCCGGAUUUAUUGGGUUUAAAGGGAGCGUAGGCCGUCGUUUAAGCGUGUUGUGAAAUGCCGCGGCUCAACCGUGGCACUGCAGCGCGAACUGGAUGACUUGAGUUCGCGGGAGGUAGGCGGAAUUCGUGGUGUAGCGGUGAAAUGCUUAGAUAUCACGAAGAACUCCGAUUG
rnacentral:rRNA from 1 species